CCUACGGGAGGCAGCAGUCGAGAAUCAUUCACAAUGGGGGAAACCCUGAUGGUGCGACGCCGCGUGGGGGAAUGAAGGUCUUCGGAUUGUAAACCUCUGUCAUGUGGGAGCAAAUUAAAAAGAUAGUACCGCAAGAGGAAGAGACGGCUAACUCUGUGCCAGCAGCCGCGGUAAUACAGAGGUCUCAAGCGUUGUUCGGAAUCACUGGGCGUAAAGCGUGCGUAGGCUGUUUCGUAAGUCGGGUGUGAAAGGCGCGGGCUCAACCCGCGGACUGCACAUGAUACUGGGAGCCUUGAGUAGUGGAGGGGUAACCGGAAUUCGUGGUGUAGCAGUGAAAUGCGUAGAUAUCGAGAGGAACACUCGUUGCGAAGGCGGGUUCCUGGACAGUAACUGACGCUGAGGCACGAAGGCCAGGGGAGCGAAAGGGAUUAGAUACCCUGGUAGUC
rnacentral:rRNA from 1 species